rnacentral:rRNA from 1 species
UGAGUAACGCGUGGGAACGUGCCUUCUGGUUCGGAAUAACCCUGGGAAACUAGGGCUAAUACCGGAUACGCCCUUUUGGGGAAAGGUUUACUGCCGGAAGAUCGGCCCGCGUCUGAUUAGCUAGUUGGUGGGGUAACGGCCUACCAAGGCGACGAUCAGUAGCUGGUCUGAGAGGAUGAUCAGCCACACUGGGACUGAGACACGGCCCAGACUCCUACGGGAGGCAGCAGUGGGGAAUAUUGGACAAUGGGCGCAAGCCUGAUCCAGCCAUGCCGCGUGAGUGAUGAAGGCCUUAGGGUUGUAAAGCUCUUUUAUCCGGGACGAUAAUGACGGUACCGGAGGAAUAAGCCCCGGCUAACUUCGUGCCAGCAGCCGCGGUAAUACGAAGGGGGCUAGCGUUGCUCGGAAUCACUGGGCGUAAAGGGCGCGUAGGCGGCGUUUUAAGUCGGGGGUGAAAGCCUGUGGCUCAACCACAGAAUGGCCUUCGAUACUGGGACGCUUGAGUAUGGUAGAGGUUGGUGGAACUGCGAGUGUAGAGGUGAAAUUCGUAGAUAUUCGCAAGAACACCGGUGGCGAAGGCGGCCAACUGGACCAUUACUGACGCUGAGGCGCGAAAGCGUGGGGAGCAAACAGGAUUAGAU